AUUGAACGCUGGCGGCAGGCCUAACACAUGCAAGUCGAACGAGUGGCGGACGGGUGAGUAAUGUAUGGGGAACUGCCCGAUGGAGGGGGAUAACUACUGGAAACGGUGGCUAAUACCGCAUACCAUCGGAUGUGCCCAAAUGGGAUUAGCUAGUAGGUGGGGUAAAGGCUCACCUAGGCGACGAUCCCUAGCUGGUCUGAGAGGAUGACCAGCCACACUGGCACUGAGACACGGUCCAGACUCCUACGGGAGGCAGCAGUGGGGAAUAUUGCACAAUGGGCGCAAGCCUGAUGCAGCCAUGCCGCGUGUAUGAAGAAGGCCUUCGGGUUGUAAAGUACUUUCAGCGAGGAGGCGUUACUCGCAGAAGAAGCACCGGCUAACUCCGUGCCAGCAGCCGCGGUAAUAC
rnacentral:rRNA from 1 species